ACAGAAGUACCUGUCUCAGCUGGCAGAGGAGGGCCUGAAGGAGACGGAGGGGACAGACAGCCCAAGCCCCGAGCGUGGUGGGAUUGGUCCACACUUGGAAAGGAAGAAGCUAUGAUAUCGGCGCUGCCACCGUCUCUGGAAGAUGGAUGGGAAGCCUGCUGAACUAAGGCCAGCCUGGCCUCAGGCACAGAACUGAGACCAGAGAGGACGGAGAGCCAGGCAGGACAUGGUGCUUGGGCUUGCAGAACAGGCUGAAGUCUCUGGGAGCUGGGCUCACCCUUCCGGGCCCAGCCACCGAGGGUGACCAGCUUCCUGUGGGUUCCUGGUUCUUUUAGUCUGUUUUUCCUCUCUCCCUCUCACCUAUCCCUUCUGUGCCAAAGUUCAUUUCCUUUUCAUAAAAUCCAGCUUCUCAGGGAUUGUCACUGUGUUUCAAGAUUUGAUUGGAUGUGGUAGGUCGGUCGAUGAGGCUGGGUCACUCAAGGAGUAAGUUUAAUGGAAGGCCUUGACUUAGUCACUUCAGUGCACCUGCGGUGGCCUUGCAACCUGGUUUCUGUGGGUCCCAAGGGUAGGAGAGCUGAGUCAGGUUCUGUGCAACCAAGGAAUCGCUUGGCAGAGGUGGAAGUGGUUUCACUAGGAUUUCCUCCAGGUGGAUCCCGCCAUUUUGAAAAGGCAUCUUUGUCUUUUGUUUCAGUCUCAGACGAGUGCUGGGAGCCGAACCCAGAAGCUUGUACAUUCUAAACAGGCGCUCUACCACCGAGCUAUAGAUGCCAGGCCAGAACGUCCCAGGGUUUUGUUUGGAGACAGGGCCCAUGCAGUCCAGUUUGUCUUUAGUUUCCUCUGGAGCCAAGGUUAUCC
rnacentral:lncRNA from 1 species